CGCAGACGACGCCUGCGGCGUGCCUAAUACAUGCAAGUCGAGCGAAUCUUUGGGAGCUUGCUCCCAUUGGUUAGCGGCGGACGGGUGAGUAACACGUGGGCAACCUGCCUGUAAGACUGGGAUAACUUCGGGAAACCGGAGCUAAUACCGGAUAAUUCUUUUCCUCUCAUGAGGAAAAGCUGAAAGUCGGUUUACGCUGACACUUACAGAUGGGCCCGCGGCGCAUUAGCUAGUUGGUGAGGUAACGGCUCACCAAGGCGACGAUGCGUAGCCGACCUGAGAGGGUGAUCGGCCACACUGGGACUGAGACACGGCCCAGACUCCUACGGGAGGCAGCAGUAGGGAAUCUUCCACAAUGGACGAAAGUCUGAUGGAGCAACGCCGCGUGAGCGAUGAAGGCCUUCGGGUCGUAAAGCUCUGUUGUUAGGGAAGAACAAGUACCGGAGUAACUGCCGGUACCUUGACGGUACCUAACCAGAAAGCCACGGCUAACUACGUGCCAGCAGCCGCGGUAAUACGUAGGUGGCAAGCGUUGUCCGGAAUUAUUGGGCGUAAAGCGCGCGCAGGCGGUCCUUUAAGUCUGAUGUGAAAGCCCACGGCUCAACCGUGGAGGGUCAUUGGAAACUGGGGGACUUGAGUGCAGAAGAGGAAAGCGGAAUUCCACGUGUAGCGGUGAAAUGCGUAGAGAUGUGGAGGAACACCAGUGGCGAAGGCGGCUUUCUGGUCUGUAACUGACGCUGAGGCGCGAAAGCGUGGGGAGCAAACAGGAUUAGAUACCCUGGUAGUCCACGCCGUAAACGAUGAGUGCUAAGUGUUAGGGGGUUUCCGCCCCUUAGUGCUGCAGCUAACGCAUUAAGCA
rnacentral:rRNA from 1 species